GACGAACGCUGGCGGCGUGCUUAACACAUGCAAGUCGAACGGAAAGGCCCUGCUUUUGUGGGGUGCUCGAGUGGCGAACGGGUGAGUAACACGUGUGUAUACUGCCCUUGACUUUGGGAUAACUUCAGGAAACUGGGGCUAAUACCGGAUAGGAGCUCCUGCUGCAUGGUGGGGGUUGGAAAGAUUCGGCGGUUGGGGAUGGACUCGCGGCUUAUCAGCUUGUUGGUGGGGUAGUGGCUUACCAAGGCUUUGACGGGUAGCCGGCCUGAGAGGGUGACCGGCCACAUUGGGACUGAGAUACGGCCCAGACUCCUACGGGAGGCAGCAGUGGGGAAUAUUGCACAAUGGGCGGAAGCCUGAUGCAGCAACGCCGCGUGCGGGAUGACGGCCUUCGGGUUGUAAACCGCUUUCGCCUGUGACGAAGCGUGAGUGACGGUAAUGGGUAAAGAAGCACCGGCUAACUACGUG
rnacentral:rRNA from 1 species